AAAUUGAAGAGUUUGAUCAUGGCUCAGAUUGAACGCUGGCGGCAGGCCUAACACAUGCAAGUCGAACGGUAGCACAGAGAGCUUGCUCUCGGGUGACGAGUGGCGGACGGGUGAGUAAUGUCUGGGAAACUGCCUGAUGGAGGGGGAUAACUACUGGAAACGGUGGCUAAUACCGCAUAACGUCGCAAGACCAAAGAGGGGGACCUUCGGGCCUCUUGCCAUCAGAUGUGCCCAGAUGGGAUUAGCUUGUUGGUGAGGUAACGGCUCACCAAGGCGACGAUCCCUAGCUGGUCUGAGAGGAUGACCAGCCACACUGGAACUGAGACACGGUCCAGACUCCUACGGGAGGCAGCAGUGGGGAAUAUUGCACAAUGGGCGCAAGCCUGAUGCAGCCAUGCCGCGUGUAUGAAGAAGGCCUUCGGGUUGUAAAGUACUUUCAGCGGGGAGGAAGGUGUUGUGGUUAAUAACCGCAGCAAUUGACGUUACCCGCAGAAGAAGCACCGGCUAACUCCGUGCCAGCAGCCGCGGUAAUACGGAGGGUGCAAGCGUUAAUCGGAAUUACUGGGCGUAAAGCGCACGCAGGCGGUCUGUCAAGUCGGAUGUGAAAUCCCC
rnacentral:rRNA from 1 species